GUGCUCCUUCGGCAGCAUAUAUAUUAAAAUUGGAACAAUACAGAGAUUAGCAUGGCCCCUGCGCAAGAAUGGCAUGCAAAUUCAUGAAGCAUUCCAUAUUUUU